rnacentral:rRNA from 1 species
GGGGGGGGCGGGGGGCGGGCGGGGCACGUGCAGGUCGGGCGCGCCCUUCGGGGCUGGUGGCGCACGGGUGCGUAACGCGUGGGAACCUGCCCUUAGGUUCGGAAUAACUCCCCGACAGGGGUGCUAAUACCGGAUACUGUCUUCGGACCCAAGCUUUAUCGCCUUUGGAUGGGCCCGCGUUGGAUUAGCUAGUUGGUCGGGUCAAAGCCUACCAAGGCGACGAUCCAUAGCUGGUCUGAGAGGAUGAUCAGCCACACUGGGACUGAGACACGGCCCAGACUCCUACGGGAGGCAGCAGUGGGGAAUAUUGGACAAUGGGCGAAAGCCUGAUCCAGCAAUGCCGCGUGAGUGAUGAAGGCCUUAGGGUUGUAAAGCUCUUUUACCCGGGAUGAUAAUGACAGUACCGGGAGAAUAAGCUCCGGCUAACUCCGUG